GAUGAACGCUGGCGGCGUGCUUAACACAUGCAAGUCGAACGGUGAAAGAGAGCUUGCUCUCUGGCUCAGUGGCGAACGGGUGAGUAACACGUGAGCAAUCUGCCCCUGACUCUGGGAUAAGCGCUGGAAACGGCGUCUAAUACCGGAUACGAGCUGCGAAGGCAUCUUCAGCAGCUGGAAAGAACUUCGGUCAGGGAUGAGCUCGCGGCCUAUCAGCUAGUUGGUGAGGUACCGGCUCACCAAGGCGUCGACGGGUAGCCGGCCUGAGAGGGUGACCGGCCACACUGGGACUGAGACACGGCCCAGACUCCUACGGGAGGCAGCAGUGGGGAAUAUUGCACAAGGGGCGAAAGCCUGAUGCAGCAACGCCGCGUGAGGGACGACGGCCUUCGGGUUGUAAACCUCUUUUAGCAGGGAAGAAGCGAAAGUGACGGUACCUGCAGAAAAAGCACCGGCUAACUACGU
rnacentral:rRNA from 1 species